GUUGCUCAAAAAUUGCAUAUCUCUUCGUGGUGAGCAGAAGGUAAUGUAAUGGCUAUUACGGUGGAAAUGAAUUA
rnacentral:ribozyme from 1 species